UCGCGGAGGAGAGCUUGGAGAGGAGUGCUUGGCUGUGGAAUCGGAGGAGUUGACUCGGUACGCUAGAGAGGGCAUGUAUGGGAAGCAUGGGGAAGGCAUAAAAGACUGCCACUUCAUUUACCUUGCGAGAAUCUACAGUCUUAGCUCACAGUCGGGUUUUGUCACUAUCACCAGUGGGCUUCUCCAAGGACUCCAGGACUCUUCGAUCAUCCCCAGUUGUUACAUUUCUUCUAUCUCUUUCUUGACAGCAUCCCACUGAAGUCGGGAAAGCCAAGCCCAGCAGUAGGAUGGGGCCCAUGGCCCAGGAGGCUGAUACCUCCAAUGCCCGCGAACCCAACUGGAGCUGGGAAGAACUGGAGGAAUUAAUCAACAUUUGGUCAGAGCAAAGGAUCAUAAACAGGCUGGACAAUAGGAUGAAUAAGUCUGUUUAUCUUGAGAUCACAAAGGGCAUGCAGACACGAGGGCACAAUUGUGACUGGAGCCAGGUCUGGUGCAAGAUCAAGUCCCUGAGAUCAGCAUUUUGCAGAGCCAAAGAUGCAAACUCUCAUUCUGGGGCAGGUUGCACACUUGUCCCCUUCUGUGAUAUGCUGUUCAUCGUUCUCUGCAGGGAUGCGAGUGACAUCCCAGCUUUGCAGAUUUUUAGCACCAGGAUUGAGCGGGGAGGUGGAGACAGAGGAGGACGAGGCAGCAGUGGCAGCAGCGGCAGCAGCCCUUCUAAGGUUGAAACCAUGUCUCAGCUGUUCAAAGACUGCUCUGUGUUCCCUCCUGAUGACCAGUUGCAGAAAGAACUGUCAGUCACCUAGCGUUAUUGCCACUUAGCCACCCCGUUCCACGGAGUAACAUGAAUGAUGAAUCAGAAGGGGGGGGGGGGGGGUCAGGAA